rnacentral:SRP_RNA from 1 species
GCCAGGUAUGGUGGCGCACACCUGUAGUCCCAGCUACUUGGGAGGCUGAGGUGGGAGGAUCGCUCGAGUCUGGGAGGUUGGGGCUGCAGUGACCCAUGAUCAGGUCACUGCACUCCAGUCUGGGCAACAGAGCAAGACCCUGUCUCAC